CCUACGGGAGGCAGCAGUGGGGAAUCUUGUGCAAUGGACGAAAGUCUGACACAGCCACGCCGCGUGCGGGAAGAAGGCCUUCGGGUUGUAAACCGCUUUCAGCAGGAACGAAAAUGACGGUACCUGCAGAAGAAGAUGCGGCCAACUACGUGCCAGCAGCCGCGGUGAUACGUAGGCAUCAAGCGUUGUCCGGAUUUAUUGGGCGUAAAGAGCUCGUAGGCGGUUCAGCAAGUCGGGUGUGAAAACUCUGGGCUUAACCCAGAGCCUGCACUCGAAACUGCUGUGACUAGAGUUCGGUAGGGGAGCAGGGAAUUCCUAGUGUAGCGGUGAAAUGCGCAGAUAUUAGGAGGAACACCAAUGGCGAAGGCACUGCUCUGGGCCGAUACUGACGCUGAGGAGCGAGAGCGUGGGUAGCAAACAGGAUUAGAUACCCUGGUAGUCCACGCCGUAAACGAUGGGCACUAGGUGUGGGUCUCUAACCAACGAGAUCUGCGCCGUCGCUAACGCAUUAAGUGCCCCGCCUGGGGAGUACGGUCGCAAGCUAAACNCAAGGAAUUGACGGCUGGAGAGNGCGAGACGACGACGAGGGAGGAGG
rnacentral:rRNA from 1 species